UUAGUUCUCACAACUGACCGCAUCCUUCGCCUCGUGUUUUGCGUCCCACUCACGUGACACCUUUGACUAUAAAAGGCCGCCACUUCUUUGUCCAGACAGGUUCCAGCCAUCGACAGCUUCCACCACAACUUCUACUUUCAUCACUCGUCAGAGAUCCUCACAGCCAUGAAGUCGCUGGUGCUGAUUCUGGUGUUGGCCGCAGCAAGCAUGUCGGCUCAUGUUACAGAAGAACGAGACUUGCUUGCCACCAAUUCCGCGAUGAUGCUGGUCCCCCACUACUGACAACCGUCAUGUCUGUCCUCGGCCCCAUUGCUGCUGCUCUCCUGAACGUUGUCACGUCCUUAGUCGGCAGCUUGCUGGGCAGUCUGCUGGGUACCGCUCUUGCUGUCGUCCAGGGCCUUCUGGCUCUUGUUCUUGGCAUCGUGUCCAAACUGGUCAACUGUGUGACGGCCGCCCUCAACAUACCCGUCGGCAACAUUGUGCAAUCCAUCCUGGGUGCAGUCACCAGCGCUGUCUCUACUAUAACAUCAAAUCUUACAGAGGCCUGCCUGUAGUAACUAUGAUGGACAACUCUCCUUUGUUGGGUCCAGUUCCUGACUCGAUGGGACGACAGAAACUUUGAGACAUCCCAUGAGGCAUUCAAACUACUCCAACAGCCAACAGGGAGGGGAAUGUGUGAGACACAAUAAACAUGGCUACAACUGUUUA
rnacentral:lncRNA from 1 species